CCUACGGGCGGCAGCAGUGAGGAAUAUUGGUCAAUGGACGAGAGUCUGAACCAGCCAAGUAGCGUGAAGGAUGACUGCCCUAUGGGUUGUAAACUUCUUUUAUAUGGGAAUAAAAUGUUCCACGUGUGGGAUUUUGUAUGUACCAUAUGAAUAAGGAUCGGCUAACUCCGUUCCAGCAGCCGCGGUAAUACGGAGGAUCCGAGCGUUAUCCGGAUUUAUUGGGUUUAAAGGGAGCGUAGGUGGAUUGUUAAGUCAGUUGUGAAAGUUUGCGGCUCAACCGUAAAAUUGCAGUUGAAACUGGCAGUCUUGAGUACAGUAGAGGUGGGCGGAAUUCGUGGUGUAGCGGUGAAAUGCUUAGAUAUCACGAAGAACUCCGAUUGCGAAGGCAGUUCACUGGACUGCAACUGACACUGAGGCUCGAAAGUGUGGGUAUCAAACAGGAUUAGAUACCCCAGUAGUC
rnacentral:rRNA from 1 species